rnacentral:rRNA from 2 species
UGGGGAAUAUUGGGCAAUGGGCGAAAGCCUGACCCAGCGACGCCGCGUGAAGGAAGAAGGUCUUCGGAUUGUAAACUUCUGUCAGCAGGGACGAAACAAAUGACGGUACCUGCCGAGAAAGCCACGGCUAACUACGUGCCAGCAGCCGCGGUAAUACGUAGGUGGCGAGCGUUAUCCGGAUUUACUGGGUGUAAAGGGUGUGUAGGCGGGUUGGCAAGUCAGAUGUGAAAAUUAUGGGCUCAACUCAUAACUUGCAUUUGAAACUGUCGAUCUUGAGAGUGGGAGAGGUAAAUAGAAUUCCCGGUGUAGCGGUGAAAUGCGUAGAUAUCGGGAGGAAUACCGGUGGCGAAGGCGAUUUACUGGCCCAUUACUGACGCUGAGACACGAAAGCGUGGGGAGCAAACAGG